UACGGGGGGGGCAAGCGUUGUUCGGAAUUACUGGGCGUAAAGGGUUCGUAGGCGGCCAACUAAGUCAGACGUGAAAUCCCUCGGCUUAACCGGGGAACUGCGUCUGAUACUGGAUGGCUUGAGAUUGGGAGAGGGAUGCGGAAUUCCAGGUGUAGCGGUGAAAUGCGUAGAUAUCUGGAGGAACACCGGUGGCGAAGGCGGCAUCCUGGACCAACACUGACGCUGAGGAGCGAAAGCCAGGGGAGCAAACAGG
rnacentral:rRNA from 1 species